rnacentral:sRNA from 1 species
UAAAGAUCUUUUCCAAUUCAUCAGUGUAC